ensembl:lncRNA novel transcript
CUGGUGAGCUGAGGCUCAGCCGCACGACCGUGCUCUGGCCCCAAAACACUCCUCGGUAACCCCCAUCCUGCCCACACAAAUGGCCCCGGAACACAGCGGCUGCUUUGAGUCAGUUUCUCUCUCGAUGACUUUUCCACGUUGGCUUCGAUCUGGGAGUUCCGUUUUCUGUGUAUUUGCUGUCAAUUUCUAUGCCUUUGGAUGUUAGUCAUUUUCCGAGGUGCUAAAAGGGGCUGGUGUGUGUUUUUUCAUUCCUCUACAGGUGGCCCUGGGAUGGUAACAGAUGCGGAGAGAUCCAUAGUAUCACCAAGUGAAAGCUGCGGCCCCAUCAAUGUGAAAACUGAACCCAUGGAAGAUUCUGGCAUUUCACUGAAAGCAGAAGCUGUCUCAGUCAAGAAAGAAUCAGAAGAUCCUAAUUACUAUCAAUAUAAUAUGCAAGGAAGCCACCCUUCUUCCACAAGCAAUGAAGUAAUAGAAAUGGAAUUACCAAUGGAAGAUUCCACUCCGCUGGUCCCUUCAGAAGAACCAAAUGAGGACCCUGAAGCCGAGGUGAAAAUCGAAGGAAACACAAAUUCAUCCAGUGUUACAAAUUCUGCAGCAGGUGUUGAAGAUCUUAACAUCGUUCAAGUGACUGUUCCAGAUAAUGAGAAGGAAAGAUUAUCAAGCAUUGAAAAGAUUAAACAGCUAAGAGAACAAGUUAAUGACCUCUUUAGCCGAAAAUUUGGUGAAGCAAUUGGCGUGGAUUUCCCUGUGAAAGUUCCCUACAGGAAGAUCACAUUCAACCCUGGCUGUGUGGUGAUUGAUGGCAUGCCCCCGGGGGUGGUAUUCAAGGACCCCGGCUAUCUGGAAAUCAGUUCCAUGAGGAGGAUCUUGGAGGCAGCUGAGUUUAUCAAAUUCACAGUCAUCAGGCCGCUUCCAGGGCUUGAGCUCAGUAAUGUGGGAAAAUGCAAGAUAGACCAGGAGGGCCGUGUGUUUCAAGAAAAGUGGGAGAGAGCAUUUUUCUUCGUGGAAGUACAGAAUAUUCCAACAUGUCUCAUAUGCAAACAAAGCAUGUCUGUGUCCAAAGAAUAUAACCUAAGACGCCACUAUCAAACCAAUCACAGCAAGCAUUAUGACCAGUAUACGGAAAGAAUGCGUGACGAGAAGCUUCACGAGCUGAAAAAAGGGCUCAGGAAGUAUCUCUUAGGCUCGUCAGACACCGAGUGUCCCGAGCAAAAACAAGUGUUUGCAAACCCAAGUCCAACCCAGAAAUCCCCCGUGCAGCCUGUAGAGGACCUAGCUGGGAACUUAUGGGAGAAGUUACGUGAAAAAAUCAGGUCUUUUGUGGCAUAUUCUAUCGCAAUCGAUGAGAUCACCGAUAUAAAUAAUACCACCCAGUUGGCCAUAUUCAUCCGUGGUGUCGAUGAGAAUUUCGAUGUGUCCGAAGAACUUCUGGAUACGGUGCCCACGACGGGUACAAAAUCUGGAAACGAGAUCUUUUCGCGUGUUGAGAAGAGCCUGAAAAAGUUCUGUAUCGACUGGUCGAAAUUAGUAAGCGUGGCCUCCACUGGCACCCCAGCGAUGGUGGAUGCCAAUAACGGGCUUGUUACAAAACUGAAGUCCAGGGUGGCGACGUUCUGCAAGGGUGCGGAACUGAAGUCCAUCUGUUGUAUAAUUCAUCCGAAAUCACUCUGUGCUCAGAAGUUGAAGAUGGACCACGUCAUGGACGUGGUAGUGAAGUCCGUGAACUGGAUAUGCUCCCGGGGACUGAACCACAGCGAGUUCACAACCUUGCUCUAUGAGCUGGACAGCCAGUAUGGUAGCCUCCUGUACUACACGGAGAUUAAGUGGCUCAGUCGCGGGCUCGUGCUAAAGAGAUUUUUCGAAUCCUUGGAAGAAAUCGACUCCUUCAUGUCAUCCAGAGGGAAACCCCUGCCUCAACUGAGCUCCAUAGAUUGGAUCCGAGACCUGGCCUUCUUGGUUGACAUGACGAUGCAUCUGAACACUUUGAACAUCUCUCUCCAAGGACACUCCCAAAUCGUCACGCAGAUGUAUGACCUGAUCCGGGUGUUCCUAGCAAAACUGUGCCUCUGGGAGACUCACUUGACGAGGAAUAAUCUGGCCCACUUUCCCACCCUGAAAUUGGUUUCCAGAAAUGAAAGCGAUGGCCUGAACUACAUUCCCAAAAUCGCGGAACUCAAGACCGAAUUCCAGAAAAGGCUGUCUGAUUUCAAACUCUACGAAAGCGAACUGACUCUGUUCAGCUCCCCGUUCUCCACGAAGAUCGACAGUGUGCACGAGGAGCUCCAGAUGGAGGUUAUCGACCUGCAAUGCAACGCGGUCCUGAAGACGAAAUACGACAAGGUGGGAAUACCAGAAUUCUACAAGUACCUCUGGGGUAGCUACCCGAAAUACAAGCACCAUUGCGCAAAGAUUCUUUCCAUGUUCGGGAGCACCUACAUCUGCGAACAGCUGUUCUCCAUUAUGAAACUGAGCAAAACAAAAUACUGCUCCCAGUUAAAGGAUUCCCAGUGGGAUUCUGUACUCCACAUCGCAACGCGAUGGAGAGAAAACUCCUGGCAGGGCCCUAUGGUGGGAAAGGCUGGAGUCUUCUAGUCCCAAGGGAUUGGGAGAUGACAAAAUGAAUUUUUUUUUCUUUUUUGAGAUGGAGUCUUGCUCUGUCGCCCAGGUUGGAGUGCAGUGGCGUGAUCUCGGCUUACUGCAACUUCCAGCUCCUGGGUUCGAACGAUUCUCCUGCCUCAGCCUCCCGAGCAGCUGGGACUACAGGCGUGCGCCACCAUGCCCGGCUAAUUUUUGUAUUAGUAGAGAUGAGGUUUCACCAUGUUGGCCAGGCUGGUCUCCAACUCCUGACCUCAGGUGAUCCACCUGCCUCGACCUCACAAAGUGCUGGGAUUACAGGCAUGAACCACUGUGCCCAGCUGACGAAAUGAGUUCUUAAACUUUUUUUUUUUCAGUUUUUUUUCCACUUUGAAUCAGAAAUAUAAUCUGCAGUAUCAUACUUGUUUAUAUUACAUUGUAUGCCUCACUAUUCAUUAAAAAUCAAGAAAGUUUUAUUGUA